rnacentral:tRNA from 1 species
GGGAUUGUAGUUCAAUUGGUUAGAGCACCGCACUGUCACUGCGGAAGUUGCGGGUUCGAGCCCCGUCAGUCCCG